rnacentral:rRNA from 1 species
GCUGGCGGCGUGCCUAAUACAUGCAAGUCGAGCGAACAGAUGGGAGCUUGCUCCCUGAUGUUAGCGGCGGACGGGUGAGUAACACGUGGGUAACCUGCCUGUAAGACUGGGAUAACUCCGGGAAACCGGGGCUAAUACCGGAUGCUUGUUUGAACCGCAUGGUUCAAAUAUAAAAGGUGGCUUUUAGCUACCACUUACAGAUGGACCCGCGGCGCAUUACUAGUUGGUGAGGUAACGGCUCACCAGGCACGAU